UAAGGAAUCCCUUUUACAUAUGAUGCUUGCUUCUUUUAUGCUUAAAGAUAGGGUAUAGAAAUUGCAGCACAUGGGGAAAGAGUUAACUGGCGUGUUGAUUCAUCUAAUAUUCUGUCUCUAUGCCUCUCUGACCUUGUAUAUCUUGUUGCUUGGCUGAAAGCACAUGGGCAAAGAGUUAACUGUUGUGUUGAUUCAUCCAAUAUUCAGUCUCUAUGCCUGACCUUGUGUAUCUUGUAUCUAGCCUGCUCAAUAGUACUCCUUCGCUAAUGCAACCCACAAAUCGUUCCCCUCAUACUGAUCCUAAGAUCAUUUUUGGAUCUAUUUCCUUAAGGAAAACUUCAAAGUGUAAAAAAGUCUAAAUGUAUAAAGGUUUCUAUUGCUGCUUCCUGUCGGCUCUGUGUGCAGUUCUUAUGGCCCUCAGCUGAGUAUGAAAAGAAACAGAAGAAAUAAAACAGGAACAUAAAGAGUAAUUUCCCCUGAAUUAUAUACUAUAAAUAACCUAAGAUCCCGCGCUAAGAGCAUAUUUGGUUACAUAUAGACACUGCAUGAGUAAUACAGGCUAGGCCAUCACAAGUGUUUGCAUGUCCCAUUCUUUAUCUUGUGCCCAUUGUAUUUAUCUUAUACAUCAAUAGAUCCAUUACUUUUUUAUCAAUACAACUCGCUCCAAAGGCUGUUUGAGUGCAUGACGGCAUGUGCACAAAGUUUGUAUGUAUGGCUAGUGCUAGUGACUGAGCCACCCUACUUUUGUUUUUUGUCUUUAAUGCGUGAACAACCAUGGGAUCUAUGAAUGAAGUUGAUUUCUCACUAGUCGUUAAUCUCUAGGUAAUAAUUCUUAUGACAGGUGGGCCAUGAUGCGGACCAUUUCACUUCCCCUGAAGGAAUACCUGGAGUCCCCGAAACAAACUUCAAUAACCGUCCCAACUCAUUCAAAGUACUCUCACCGGCUCGAACAUGUGUGGUAUGAUUCUUUUUUCUGCGGCUUGUCUAGGUUACUCUUUGUGCUGUUGACUUAAUGGUCAGAUAACAUUACAACUCAUAGCUACAACUUUCAUAUUUUUUCUAAGGGGACCAAUUCUGAGCAAAUGGACUCGAUACACCAAUAGCUCAUAACACUAAAAUUCUUCUCAUUUGAUGCUCUCAUCUCUUUUCUCAUAAAUUAUCAAAUGAAGUUCUUCCUUGAAAAUUAAAGUAUAUUUUUGACGAAGAGGAAGUCGCUGGUAGUUUUUUUUUUGUGUAUACUGUAAAUCACAUCUGAUCAAUCUAGUGCUUCAGGCACAUGAUAAAGAACAAUUGUUUUGAUUGUUCUUGCCUAGAAAGAGUUACCAAUACAACAUGUUAAAAUCAAGUUACAUACACUGAAUUACAAGUAAAUUUUCAAAGAGUCCAAACCAAUGAUUUUUAUUCAUGAUCAUCGCAUGCCUCAGCAUACAGUUUUCUUUUUUGCCUUUUGGAGACUUCUGGAUUUGGGUAUUACUCUUAUAUGAUUUAAUAUCGCUAUUUGUAUUAUCAGAGCAUUACAUGUUUAGAUUUGACAGUAGCCAUGGUUUACUUAAAGUCCGGAAAGUGAAUCACUCAUUUCUCUUUCACUUCCAUCUUUGUCUCCCUCUAGGUUUAUUAUAAAGUUGAAGAAAGUUUAGAAGAAAGCAUGGAUGUAAAUGUGGUGGACAAUGAUGAGAAAGAUAUAGCAAAUGUGGUGGUGGACAGUGAUGAGAAAGAUAUAGCAAAUGUGGUGGUGGUGGACAGUGGUGAGAAAUUUGAAGCACCAGCUUUAGUUGAAGAUAAUGAUGUCGGCCCAAUUUUACUGAAAGGCUUAGAAGCGGAAGCUAUUGGUGAAGACGACAUAUCAGACCAGACGACUGAGACUAUCCUUGGUUAACCGGUUCCAUACGAAUUCCGUCCAUUUGUUCACCAUCUACUGUUGGCUGCUGCUGCACGAGAAAUAUCAGUUCAGUUUCACGCGAUUUUCUAUCUGUUUGUAAUAAUUUUAAUACAUAUAUAUCAGACCUUUGCACUGGUUGUACGUAUAAAUAAUGCUAAAAAGUGAGUGUAUGUUUUUCUUAGGUGGAAAAAUACUCGGACGUUAAGCCACCAGUGAGCUUUUGCGUUGUUCAUAUGGAUUAUGGGGGCAGCAAUAAAAUAGUGGACCGAUAAACCCUUGGGCUGGAGCCCACAUUGUGAAUUACUCCCUAUAAAGAAGAUUUUCUGACCAUUAAUUAAACUACUAAUAUUUUGGAUUACAAAAUUACGUUAUUCGUUAUUUAUCCAACCAUAAAAUAAAAAGAAAUGUAUAUUUUUGAAAAAAAUAAAAUUAAAAUAAUACUCAUUUCGUCGUGUAAAAAUUGACUUAAUUUAAGUUAAAUUGAUCAUUUUUAUUAUUAAAAUCAAUAUUAUUUUUUAUGUAAAUAUAGGUGAAAAAAUUAUGUCAAAUCUGCUAUCACUUCCCAUUUUCAUAAAUUUAAAAAUAUAGAUAUAAAUAAAUAAAAUUAAUUCUUGAGGGACAUCCUUGGCAUAUGGCAGUCAAAUUUUGAGUUAAAAAUUCCAAACCCAGAGCUAUUCGAUCCAUGACCCGGUUACGGUGUGGACGGUUACAAGUCCAGUCCGGCCACUGCAUACUGCACAGGAGUUGCUUGCUUGCGUGAAGAGAUGAUUAACUAAACUACAGUAGUUUCCAAGAAGAAGACGUUCCAAUUCCGGAUCGGAUCAAAUUUUCCGAUACAUCUGCUCUCUAGGGUUUUGUUUUGAUAUAGAAAUGGAGGAGAAGCAGAAGAAGAACAAGUACAGUAUAAUAGUCCCCACUUACAACGAACGUCUCAACAUCGCCCUCAUUGUCUACCUCGUCUUCAAGCAUCUCCCGUACGAAUCUCUCUCUCUCUCUCUGGGUCUCAUUAUCGGCUCUUUUUGAUUGAUUAUUUAUUGAACUUGAAACUCUCACAAAGAAAUUUUACGAUUAUUAUAUUUGUUGCUGUUAUUGACUUUUGGAGUCUCAAAUUUGAUCUCUUUUUGUUGCCAAUAUCUCUUAUUCUUCCUUCUUAAAUGAAUUGGUUAAUCUUCAUAAUUAAAUUUGGUAGAAUUUUAAUCUUCGGUUUUGCACAAGGCUAUGUAUAGAUUAUAUUUGUGAAAAAUAAAAUAUUUACUACUGCAGAAUAAUCGUGUCAAUUUUGACAAGGCUCCAGCUAAAGGAAAUUACCAAGUAAAUAGUGGGAGAAAGUGCCAAUGAGAAUUCAUUUUAUUUGUUUUUUCAGGGGCUGGUGGUUGGUUCUUUUUAGACGUUUUAUGGGCCUUAUCCUUGAAGGAUGUUCUUGUACUCAUAUAUUACCCUUUAUCAAUAAUAUUUUUCCUGAUGAUGUGUGUGUUAUUAUCUUGGUAUGGAUGUCACAAGGUGGUACUGAGUGGGGGCAACGGCCUAAUGGAGUGAAUUAUUAUCUAAGAUUGUUUUCCGAUAGAUGUCAAUGUGCUAAGAGCUAGUUGAUCUAAUUGUACAAGUUAUUGAAUCUCUAGCGCUUAGGAAUCUAGCUAAUCAACUUCGAGUGAGGUUUUUUAUUUGAUUAUCUGAGCACAUCGGCUUUAAGGAAUAAUAAAUUGGCAACCGUGCAUCACUUCGUGAAUAUUUAGUUUCAUUUAGGUGCUAUUUAGUGGCAAAUGUGGACUUCUGUUAGGCUUACCUAUUUUAUUGGCAUACUUGGAAUUGUUUAUUGUUUGUUUUUUUAAGCAACUGCAUUUCUUUGUUUUCUUUAUCUUUUUAAGUUCAUGCAUUUGCGUCCAAUCACUGGAUUUAUAGUAAUCGAAUUGCGCUGUUCCUGAGUGAAGACUUAGUCAUAUCCAAGGCAAAUUGCUUAUAAGUAUUAGUAUGUGUAAGCAUGUUAAAUUGAACCACAAACCUGCCACUGUGUGUUUAUUACUUAGUUUUAUGACUUUCUUGCUUCCUGGUUAGGGAUGUUGACUUUGAAAUCAUCAUAGUGGAUGAUGGAAGUCCUGAUGGAACCCAAGAUAUCGUCAAACAGUUGCAGCGGGUUUAUGGUGAAGAUCGCAUUGUAAGUACAAUGAUAGUUAAUUUACAAUUUACUCAUUUGUGCACAUCGUGUUUUUUCUUUGAGCUUGUCGUGACCUUUCUGUUGCCUCUACAGCUGUUAAGACCUCGGCCGAACAAGCUUGGAUUAGGUAAACUUUGUUUUUUCUGUUUAAAAUCCAAUGUGAAAACCACAAAGUAGUGUUGAUACAUAUUUGAUUUCAGGCACUGCCUAUAUUCAUGGUUUGAAGCAUGCAUCUGGAAAUUUUGUUGUAAUCAUGGAUGCUGAUUUGUCACAUCAUGUAAGUAUUUCCUAUGGGAUGAUAAUAAUUAUUUGGAAAAAUAUAUACAUAUACUUAUUUAUCAAAAAGUUUACUUAUGUGGAAACACUAUGUAACCCCUUAAUUCUGUGGCAAUGUUAUGUUGCACCAUUAUGAGGAAUUGAACCAUGAUCUUUUGGUUCUUGUAGGUCCUAGAUUGUUAACAAUGUAUGCAACUCUUUGAUCAUACAAAUACAUUCAUAUUGUAUACUGUAUUUCACAGAUGUUAUACUUUAAGUUGGUAAUUCACUAUUGAAUGGUUGUGCUUCAAUGCCCCUAGAAGUAAUCAGUUUAUAUUAUUUUUUUAUCCGUAAUUAUCAUAUAAAAUGUAAACUAAGAAAUGUACAACAAAAUAGUUCAGGUUUCUAAUUACAGGGGAAUGUGAAAAUCGUGUAUUUUAAAUGUUUUGUGGAAUGUUUAUGCUUGUGUUGCAUCAGCCAGAUUUUGCUUUUAUAGUUGAUUUAUUGCUGAUGUUUACUCUUUGUACUCAUCUAAUCUAAUUUGGGUUCUUUUUCUGUUACCCAGCCAAAGUACUUGCCAAGCUUCAUCAAGUAAGAAAGUUUACUCUUAAGUUUUGGAUUUUUCUGUCCCCCUGUUCUCAUUAAAUAUUAACUUUCUUGAACUACAGAAAGCAGAUGGAGACAGGUGCUAGUAUCGUUACUGGAACUCGGUAUGUUAAAGGUGGUGGUGUGCACGGAUGGAAUCUUAUGCGCAAGUUGACCAGUAGGGGAGCAAAUGUCCUCGCGCAUACGCUGCUUUGGCCUGGUGUAUCUGACUUAACAGGAUCUUUCCGGUACACUAUUUAGAAUACUGAGAUAUUAUUUCCUUUCCUUGUUAUCAGAAAGGGGGUUGGGUAAAGCAAACUCCCUCCUCUUAUAUCUCAACUUUAGGUGCUGAAAAUUUGUUUGUUUCAAAGGCUUUAUCAGAAAUCUGUGCUCGAGGACAUCAUAAGUUCUUGCGUUAGUAAGGGAUAUGUUUUCCAGAUGGAAAUGAUUGUCCGGGCUUCAAGAAAAGGGUACCAUAUUGAAGAGGUAGCAUUACACUUGUACUUUGUCAAUUAGCGGUCAUGAUAAUACAAACAUGUUAUCUGAUUUUUAGCUUCUUCUGAGCUGGUAGAACUUUUACAAUUUACACAUUGCAUAAUCAUUUUUACAGUUGAACAAGCAAUUAUGUAAUGUGCUGUUUGCGAAAAAUCGUCCGAUGGUCCUACAUGAUAUUUGAACUAUGGAACUUGUUGUAAAAUGAUUGUGAAUGCAGCUUGAUUAUCUGACAUGACUGGCCUAGAGAGCUUGCCUUUUUAUGUCUCGGAGCAUGAUUAUUUGAGGAGACAGCUAGCAAGCAGAAUCUAUUUAGUAUUUUUUAAUAUUAAUUUUUCCUUGUAUGCAUAUUCAUUUGGUUCUUUGAUUUGGUCUCCUUUCAUUUGCACCAUUUCCUAAACAACCCAAGACAACAUCAGACUGCCAAACAAUUAAUUAAUUGUUGAUUAGCCCUGACCAUGUGUUGCCGGACUUGCAUAUUCUCUUUCUGAGGCUCUUCUUCUACCACAGUGGUGUCAAUUAUCAAAAGGGUGCAUGGGCAUAUUCAAUGCUUGUGCAAUUAAGUUGAAAAUCCUUUUGGAUUUCAUCAAGUAAAUGACUGAAGGAGCCGUUAUAUCUGAAUAUACUCUCAUCCACAGUGCAUUUUGACCCCUGGUCACUUAUAACUUAAGCACCAUGGAUCUUACUUUUUGCCGCAUUUUUGUGAAUUUCUUUAAAAGAAUUAUUUUCCUUUCCUUCUUACGACUUGCAAUUAGUGAGUUUCACCUCUUGUUCCCCCGAUUCAUCAAAAUCAUUGGGAUACAUCAGCAUCUGGCUUGUAGAUUUUGCUUAGGUGAAGGGUGAUCACAUCAACCUUUCUUCAAAUGUCUUUAGUUUUCUAGCCAUCUGCAGAGUAAGAAAUGGGUACGAGCUACUACCUGAAAUCUGUUUGGUUACUUAUUUACAGUUACAUUGGGCUAAAAGUUGACCAUGUAUGUGUGUGCAUAUUGUGACUAAUUUUCUAUUAUAUCUAUCAAGUUUUGGACUUCUCUUUUUCUUGUACAAAAGUGGAGAAAUUAUCAAAAGAAAUUAAUCUCACCUUGAUUAUUGUUAUUCUGGCCAUAGAUUUCCAACUUUGAUUUUAUUGUUGUUCAUAGGUUCCCAUCACCUUCGUGGACAGAGUGUAUGGGAGUUCAAAGCUCGGCGGAUCAGAAAUAGUGGAGUAUUUAAAGGGUCUUGUAUAUCUUCUGGUUACGACUUGAAAUUGAAGGAAAGGCUAUUCCCUGUAAUAACUGCAACUCUUGAUCUGGUUGACAACAAUUAAUCAUCCUAGCUUCUCCAACCCAAAAUACCUGUUUGCCACCCUCAUCCCUGGCAAUCCACCAAAAGACACGGGGAAACAACUUCACUUGAUUUCUAUUGGUAGUUUCUAACUGCUUCCCUUAAACAGAUUUUAUAUAAUAAAUUUUGAUAAGCAUGGACAUAGGCUUCGUGAAAUGAGUAUUUUUUUAUUUUAUAUAUAAAUGUCGUUUGAUUGUACAUCUUCCAAAUGUUAUAUCUCAGCAAGUUGCACUGUGCCUAAAGGAUAUUAUAUUUGAUAUAAUAUACGAGGAUUAUGAUUGCAAUAACAGCUUUAUUCACCUUUGUGCAAGUGCAUUGUGUUUGUUUGUAAUGAAAUUCUGUAUGUGUAAAUAAAAAAGCUCUGUUGUUUAGGUGGCUUAUUUCAUUUGUUGCAGCAUUUCAAUCUUUCAAAAGGCCCUUAUGAGAAGCCAAUUCAAGCUUUCAUGUACUUUGGAUUUCUGAGAUAGUUAUUUGAACUGAAAUCUUAAAUUUGGAUUAAGAAUCUGUUUUAGUUUCAUCAUUUCUCCCACCUUCAGAAGAAUAAAGCAUAAGCUUCAUUUGUGCUGCUUCUGUUAAAGGAAAGGACUGGCCCGAAGCUAGGUUUAGAGUAAAACCUCAGCUAUCCGAAAAUUACAUAUCAGAAUUCUUAUGAGAGCAUUGAAAACUAGCUGUGCUUCUUAGUUCUCCACUCUUAAAUUAACAUGGCUUUCUAGAAGAGAAGAUGAAAAUGAACAUAAUGUGAUUCUGGCUGCUGCAGUCAUAACUGUAAAUCAUCACUGUAACAACACAAGAGUAAGAAGAUGAAAGCACCAAAAAUACUUAAAAUCUGCAGCAAUCAAAUUAAUUGCAACAUUCCAGAAUUUAGAACACUAGUAUAUUAUCCAACCAUUAAAUAAAAAACAAACAAACCAUUUUCCUCGAUUCUCCAACUAACUACUUCUACCUGAAAACACCACCAAACAAAUACUAAAACAAAACCAUAACCCACAAACCCAAUUCCACCCCUUCAUAUUUUCCUAAUCCUCCUCACUCCAAUUUUUCUCUCAGUACCCCCAACAGACUUCUCAUAACUCACAUCCAGAGGAAGAGGAGGCUUCUUCUUGUUCUCCUUGAUGCUACUGCUUCUCAACGAAUAUCUCGGAUUCUCUCUCCUCUCUGUUAGCGGCGUAGAUGGUACCAAUUUCCUCAAGCCCUCAAAUUUCUUAGUCUCCUUUCUUUUAGCAGAUUCCACCCUCACACCAAGAUCAUACACUGUUUUUUUCUCAUCCCCUGUUAAAUUACCCUUCUUUCUUUUCAGCCUUUCAUUCCUUCUUGCCGAAUACUCCUCAUAAAAUCUUCCCCUUUCAAAAAGAGGACUCUUAUUAGCAUUUCUAGCAUUAUUACCCAUUUUAUUUUCUUUGGAUUCACCCUGAACCAUUUUGGCCAGAGCCCUUAAUUCGCAAGAAAUUGUCCGGUAUUCAGGGCGAAGCUCUAACUCUUUUGUACCCCAAGUGCGUUUAGGCAAUUGGAUUUUUGUUAGCGAACCUAUCAUAUUCAAUAAUCUCAAUAAAAAUCAAAAAAAUCUGAAAAAAUAAAACUUCAAGUUUUAUAGAUAUAAAGUUUGAACUUUUCUAUUCUGAAUUUAUAUAUAUACCUGGUGGGGUUUGCAGACUUUUGGCACUGGAUUGAAGAACUCGACGAGGGCGAAGGCGUAUCGGAGAUCUUGCAAGUGGAGGUUUUCGAUCUGAUCUCAUCAUAUUGAAUAUAGAUUCUGUUCAAAAAAAUUGAACAGACAAAUUUAGAGAGAAAACGAAUGUUUUGAGAAGAUAAAGAGAAAAAAAGAAGAAGAGAGAGAGAUUACCUUGUGUUUGAAUUAUGAAUGGCUUCUGAGAUUUCCUGCAAUACUUUAUUCUUUCCUUUUUGACUUGAUUCCUUGUUUUUGGGGGUUUAUUCAUAUGCGUAUUAAUUUGAAUUUUGGGAAGAAGGGGGGAGCGUCCCAACGGCCAUAUUAUUUGAUCCGACGGUUUUGGAUUAUUUGAAACUUACUCUCCUAAAGAUGACAAAAGGAUGAAAUAAAUUACAUAAAAUCAAUGAUAAUUAUGUCAUUUAACGAUGAUUAUUAGUAUAAUUAAUAAAAAUAAUUGUCAGAUUAUUAAGGAUAAACCAAUCCUAUACUCUUAAUAAUUUGAAUUUUUUUCACAAUUUUUUUUUAUCAAAUAGAAUGUAUAACUUUAAACUUGACAAAAUCGAUCCAAGUCCGAAGGUCAGCCCAACUCAAUCGUCAAGAAAUGGGCUUUGAGCUUCAUAUUUUUUAGUCCAUCAAAACAUGGGCCGUUUUGAUUUGGCCUGUCAAUGACCCAGCCCAUUUGGGCUAGGUUAAAAAAUGUGACCAAAUUUGAUUAUAAAUCAGUACAGGUUCUCAGGCCAGCCCGAUCCGCCCGUCAAAAAAUGGACUUUGAGCUUCACUUUUUCAGCUUACCAAAACUUAAGCUGUUUUGGCUCGACCCGCCAAUAGCCCGUCAAAAAACGAAUUUUGAGUUUAUUUGCAAGAAGUAUAAUUUUAAAACUAUUGAGUUAUUUUAUAAUCGUCAAAUUAAUAGUUAAAAAUUUAAAUUUAAAAACAAAUAAAAUAUUUAAGAUUAAUAUUUAUAUUUGAAGUAUAAUUUUUAUAAUCAAACGUAGUCUAAAAAAUAUAAAGUUAAACGACCAACCAGAUAAAAGUAAUGGAGUUUUGAGGACUAGUCAAAUACAACUAGAAUAGAAAAAACUAAAUAUAUGGUUCUCGAAUAUGAAAAAAACAAUAAAUAUAUGAACGAAUAGGAAAGAUCAAGAAACGUAUUGAAAUAUAUUUUUAAUAUCUGUCGUACCAAAAAAAAAAUACAUUUAGACUUGUAAUAAUAUAUAUAGCUAAUACUUUUUGCCUUUCUAUGUAUUAUUCAAUUAAGAACAUAAAUUUUAAGCUUUGUGACCCUAAAUUAAAAAAAUGAUAAACCAACUGUUGGGAAAAAAUUAUUGUCUUUAAUAAAUUAAACCACAAAAAUAUCAUUACAUCUCAAACACAUUAAAUUUACAUUUGCAUCAAAAUAAUAUCUACUAAGAUAAAUGGUUUUAAUUUUCACGUGAUAGGCUAGUAGUGUAUAUAUAUAUAUAUAUAUAUAUAUAUAACAAAAUACAAUUGAUUUUGAAUUUCCCGUUAUCCUAAUAAAUUGACACAAUUAGUCUAUCUAACAAAAUAAUUUUAAAUUUCUCAUUCACCCUAAUAAAUCAUCUGAACCGGAGUCGCAAAACAUAACUAAUAUAUAUAUACGGUCAGAUCAAGAGCAUUCUCCUUAAAUAACAUUCCUCCUUAAAUAACAUUUUUUUAUUAAAACUACCGUCGUUUUGGAGGGACGCGGUGGUAUUUUUGUAAAUACACGGUGGCAUUGUAUUUACAAAAAUGUCACCGCGUCCCUUCAAAACGACGUAGUUUUAAUAAAAGAAUGUUAUUUAAGGAGGAAUGCUAUUUAAGGAUAAUAGUCUUGAUCCUUACCAUAUAUAUAUAUAUAUAUAUAUAUAUAUAUAUGGGAUUCCAUCCACACCAACCUGUUGUUGGGGAACAACCUAUUUUGGCCAGCCGUUACUACCUGUACCGAUAAUUUUUAAAAAAAAAUUUUAAGCCGGUAGUAGCGGCUGGCCAAAAUGGGUUAUUCCCCAACAACCGGUUGCUUGCUGUGGAUGGAAUCCAUAUAUAUAUAUAUAUAUAUCAAUUAUCACAUCACAUCACAAGAAAUUAGUUAUAUGUGAUCUAGUCAGCUUAUUAGACUUUAGCUUGUUCUACAAAAGCUCCAAUUUCUCAUCCAAAACCAAAAAGACUCAAUCUUCUUUAACGAAAAUCAAUGGAGGGCACGAUUUGAUGCUCUGCAAACUACAUUCCUCUGUCCCCAAUAAGCUUUUUGGAACGAUCUGCAAUUGUUUACAGGGACAGGAUCUCUCUUGUUUUUGGGGAUAAUGUUAAGUUCACUUGGAGAGAUACGUUUGAGAGGUGCAUUAGACUUGCUUCUGCUCUCACUCACCUUGGGAUUUCCCGUGGAGAUGUUGUGAGUUUCAGUUUCUGUUGGGUUUGCAAUUAUUUUUUGGCUUUUUAAUCAAUUGUUUGUUGCUGUAGAUUAUCGAAUUCCUUUCUUUUUAUGUUUUCUCCUUAUAUUUCUGGGUCUGGACUAAUUCCAUUUACUCCCUUCCUUUUCAAAUUCCUUAUUAAUUGGGUUCCAAAUUUUGAGAAUUAAAGUUUCAUCCACACAAGACACAUCAUUAAUAAUGACUUGUCAUGAUCCUUGUACUGCUCUGGUGUGUAUACAUAUGAAAACAUAAAAUUAUCCUUAAAAGUUUUCGUUUCGUUUUUAAAAUGUAUAUCUAAUUUUGGAAUGAAAGGAGGGAAUGUUUACACAGUCCAUCUUAAUUGCGUGUUCUGUUGGAAUUUUUAUGUGUUAUUUAUUACCUUUUUAGAUUUUAUAACUUAUGUGUCUCAGUAUGUGAGGGAUGUCCUUAUUUGGCUAAUGUAUGAGGUUGCUUUUAAUCACUAUAUCUAGUUGCUAUUUUUUUUUUGAAUGUUGUGUUUUUGGUAAUUCGAAGAACUUAAAUAAUUUUGAAUUGAACUUCUUGCUGCUACUAUAUACUAGAUGUCAGUUAAAUUUGGUCACAAGUUCAAAUUUUUGAAUGCUUGUUUCCACUUUAAAGCUCAACUGCUCAAGUGCUUUGCCCCUGAAAUACUAAGAUUUACAUGCUGGUACUUUAACUCAAGAGAAGAUAGUUAGGCUGGAAAAUGAAUCCCUUCAAGGAAGGCAAGGAAGAAAAUAUAAAGAUAAAACAGAUGUAAAUAAAAAAAAGUUGGAAAAAUGAAAGGGGGUUGGGGGAGGGAAGAGAGAUAAAUAAAAACAAAAGCAAAGGGAAAGGGGAAAGUUUAAAAAGGUGGAACAACAGUUGCAUUUUUAAGUAGGGAAUUGAUAUUUUCACAAGUAAAUUUGAUAGUUUCACAAGUUUCUUCUCACAUGGGGCAACAUCAAUUCUUGUCCUUAUUUAUAUAAAGUGUUGGCACUUAAUUGAGUUGCAUCAUGGGUUGGAAAGGAGAUGGUCUCUCGCGCAAGGCCCAAGCUGGAAACCUUAAUGCAAACUUAAUUUGUUGAAAUUUGCAAUAGUACUGAAUUUUACCCAAAUAGAACUUUAUGCAAUUGACCAUUCUUAGUUGUCAGAACUUCUAUGCUUUUUGCCUACUAUCUUAAAAUUUUAUAAAUACUCUGCAUAUCUAUUUGCAUUCUCCAUGGCCUAUUUGGUGCUUUAAAUUUCAGAUUUCUUGGAGAAUCUUAAGUGGAACUACAUCUACUAUUAAAUUGACAUGACAAUCCUUGGAAUUCUCCGAAGAAGAAAAGUUGUGUGUUUGGUAUUAAUAAUUAAAAGAAUUACCACAAGUGGCCUACAUAUUCUAGUGCACAUAAUGAUUACUGACUAGUAGUCAUUAUGCAAGAAGGGUCUACCACUCAGUACUUACCAAUGAUCUUGAGCUUCAAUAGUUAUUAGUUUUGAAUUCCACAUGUACUGACCAGUAUUUGUUGUGUGACACUGCUUUAUAUGCCAAUAUGUUUCUUUCGCUUUUUCUAUUCUCCUAUCCAAGAGAUUGAUGACAGAGUAGGAUAUUCAAUAGAAGUAGAUGGCUAUUUGUAGAACUUGCUGAAUAUUUGAUGAGGUAUAGAAAUGAUCAAAUCACCUGCUUUUUGAGAAAUAUAUAUUUCAAAGAUUGCCCGAGAUCAAGUAUGUGAGAGUAUGUAAAAGACCGAGGCAUUUCUUAAAAACCUAAGUUAAAGGAUUCUGUCAAUUUUCUUAGACUCAAGUUCUUUUGUUGCCCUUUAUUUUUACUGAUUGGAAGAAAAGAAGUUCCUCUUCAAAACAAUCAGGUCUCCCUUUAUCAGUAUAUUGUCCUAGCCGGAAUAUAUACCUUUCAGAAGAUGAAAAAGAUAUGACUUUAUUUAAUUGAUUAGGUCAUGCAAAGGAUAACACAUGUUCCAAUGAUUUCAUUUUCUAGCAUUCUUAUAGGAAAGGCUAAUAAGGUGUAAAAGGGAUAAAAUAGUUCUACUCAAUAACUGAGAAUUUUGUGACUGCAGCUUGAACACCUUAGAAGUGAUGAACCAAGAGUAUCAUUUGGAAUGUGGUCUAUGUUAUUCUUUUGCUUUUGUAGUAUAUAAUCUUUCUUAUUUAACACAUGUAACUGUGCUCCUUUUAAUGUUUGAAGCACAGUUCAAAUAAAAUCCUAAAUAACAUAGACCAUAAAUAAGUUCAAUUUUCUAGAUAAUCUUAUUUCCAGCCUCAUUUGUGUUUGAAGCAAGAUAAAAAUAGUUGCUUCUUUCAAAUAAUAGAAAGGCUGGAGAAAGAAAAGGAAAAGUAUGUAAUUUUAGAUUCUGGUGUUCUUAUUUGUAGUUCUCAUAUUAAGCUUUUCAAUUAUAAUCUUUUGAGCAGGUUGCCGCUUUGGUCCCAAAUAUUCCAGCUAUGUAUGAACUACAUUUUGGAGUUCCAAUGGCCGGGGCAGUUCUUUGUACUCUUAAUAUCCGUCAUGAUUCAGCAAUGGUGUCACUAUUACUGAAACAUUCAAAUGCCAAACUCAUAUUUGUAGAUUACCAAUUUCUUGGUAUUGUGAAAGGAGCAAUUGAAAUCCUAUCGAAGACACUACUCACCAAGCUGCCUCGUCUUGUAAUCAUCCCCGAGUCUGAUAAACCAUCACACUCUAAAAUAGUUUUCCCUUCAGUAAGUUAUGAGUACGAGUCUCUUUUAUCAACAGGAAGCCCAGAUUUUGAGAUAAGACGACCGCACGACGAAUGGGAUCCUAUUUCGCUUAAUUACACUUCGGGAACAACAUCAAGUCCAAAAGGUGUUGUGUAUAGUCAUAGAGGUGCCUAUCUCAAUUCUCUUGCUGGUGCUCUUCUUAAUGAAAUGGGCUCUAUGCCCGUCUACUUAUGGACAGUUCCAAUGUUUCACUGUAAUGGCUGGUGCCUUACUUGGGCUGUGGCAGCACAGGGUGGUACAAAUAUUUGCUUAAGAAAUGUCACUGCAGAGGGAGUUUUUGAGAGUAUUGCCCUGCACCAUGUAACCCAUAUGAGUGGUGCACCUACAGUUUUGAAUAUGAUAAUUAAUGCAGCCAAUGGAGUCAAAAAGCCACUUCCGGGAAAGGUGAUGGUGAUGACCGGUGCUGCACCGCCACCGCCUCAGGUCCUUUUCAAGAUGGAAGAGCAAGGAUUCUAUGUCACUCACUCGUAUGGUCUUACAGAAACAUAUGGUUGUGGAACCGUUUGCACUUGGAAGCCAGAGUGGAAUACUCUCCCUCGUGAUACACAGGCAAAGAUCAAGUCCCGUCAAGGAUUACACCAUCUUGGCAUGGAGGAAGUCGACAUUAAAGAUCCUAAUACCAUGAAAACUGUACCCCCAGAUGCAAAAACAAUGGGCGAGGUCAUGUUCAGAGGCAACACUGUGAUGAAUGGGUACUUGAAAGAUCUUAAAGCAACAGAAGAUGCCUUUAAAGGUGGGUGGUUUAGAAGUGGGGACUUAGGGGUGAAACACGCGGAUGGCUACAUUGAACUAAAGGAUCGGUCUAAGGACAUAAUUAUUUCCGGGGGAGAGAAUAUUAGCACGAUAGAGGUGGAAGCUGUGCUUUUUAGUCAUCCAGCAGUUCUCGAAGCAGCUAUUGUGGGAAGACCUGAUGAUCAUUGGGGGGAAACCCCUUGCGCAUUUGUGAAGCUGAAGGAUGGGUUUAAUGCAACUGGUGACGAGAUUAUCAGUUAUUGUCGUAGUCGCUUGCCUCAUUACAUGUCUCCUCGAACUGUGGUUUUCGAGGAUUUGCCUAAAACAUCGACAGGAAAGACACAAAAGUUCAUUCUCAAACAAAAAGCUAAGGCUAUGGGAAGCCUUUCAAAGAGCAGGACCAGCAAACUAUAAGCCCCCUGCUACUACAAGGUAACAUCUUCUUGUGGAUUUAAGCAAGCAAAAAUAUUACAUUUGUCACAUGGCAGCUAGAUUUGUUAUGUCUGAAAUAAAUUGCUGUUUGACAAUGUAACUUUGUUGGUUGUAUAAUGUACGUAUAUAUUUGCGGUUUUAAAAAAGCUACUGAAUUAAAAUGAAUUUUUAGUCCAAUUUCAUCAUGUAGCUCAAGUGCUAAUUUUAAUGGAUUGACUCGAAUUUGUGAUCAUAUAAAAUAAAUAAAAAAGACUAUAGGUAGAUUAUCAUAUUUGAUCUUAAGUUGAGUAUGUGAUUAAUUUGGUAUCACUAAUAAUUAGGUUGGACCGAGUUAGGAUUUGGUUAAUCUGGGUGGGGUACUCCGCUCACCGGGGUAGGGUAUUUUUGAACUUGAAAAAGAAUUAUAGAAGCGAUAAUUUCAACAACUAAAUUUAUAGAAAAUAGUUCACAAAAAUCGUCGCUAUAGAGACGGUUUUUACCGUACAUUAUGACACUUGUGUGGAAUAAAAUUAUAAAAGCGACAAUUUUAACAACCAAAUCUACAAGCACAAGCACGCUUACAUGUUUGACAUUCAAAAGCCAACAUUUUUGCCAAAGUAAAAAGUACAAAAUUAUCCUUAAAUUGUAUAAAUAAAAUAAAAUCUCAAUCCUCAUGCUAUACACUUACCUUAAAAUUGUCAUUAAUACAUUUAAAAACACUUCUACAAUCUGCACUUUUGCAACAGUAAUUACCUUGUUAAAUAUGUCUGCUUUAACUACCUUGAUUAAUAGUAAAUAAAAAUAGGAAACUGAUAAAUCUACAACCGGAAAUAAUAUUUUCACGUGAAAAAUGUUACUAUAAAUCCUAAAGCAACGACUUUUACCGUCGCUAUACAUCUAUAGCGACACUUUUCAUGUAGAAAUAUUAAAAAGUGUUUGUGAAAAUAUCAAUUUUCUAAAAAUAUUAUCAGCACAUCAAUUAGCAAUUUUAUAUUAUGUACCAAUUACUUUAGAAAAGGAUUACCUACCAAUACCAUCCAUACGCUUAUUAAAGUGGGACACUAAUAGCUAGACUGAUGAGUUUUGUCUUUGUCUAGAAGGAAUCUUCAAUUUUCAGAAUUUACAACAAGACAAAGAUUGUACCAUUGAUCUUAUCUCCUCCUCUACCAAUUCUUUCUUCUAUAUAUGUAUGUAUGUAUAUGUUAACGCCAAGAUCUUCUCCAACGUCUCAAUCACGUAAGACGCUUUGAUCCUACACAGUAAACACAAUAAACACCACAAGCUUGACGGCUGGACCGCCGGGGGAUAGCUCAGGCGUGAGAGUUAGUAUACGUAUUCACAAGGCUAACAAUGGAGGAUGUAAUGUCUAGUGUAUUGAGAGUGAUGAUAAUUUUCAGUUGUGUGUAUGUGAAUAUGAAUGUGUACGUACCUGUUUAUGAAGACUUAGUUGAUAGGUUAUACUCUCUUUGCCCGGUUUACCGUGCCACCCACUACCUCUGACACCCCCCCUGAUAUGAUGGAUUCUGUCGACUGAGUGUUGUAUACCCACUACUUUUGGGUACUGUUUAUGCCGCCGGCCGGCUAUAAUCCCAUCCACAUUAAUGCAUGGCAGGUGUCUUAGUCAACUGUCAUGCUUUUUCAUCAUUACAAGUCAAAGUAAUAAAUAUUAAAAAAUCCAAUGGGUUAGUCCAAUGAACCGACCCGGUUUCAUAGGAUUAAAUAGAAGUAAUAUGGUGACUAGGUCCAGUGGCUUUCAAGGUUCAAUAAUGAAGGCCCAAUAGAUUAAUUAAAUAAGUAAACCCAAUUUGCUCGGCCCAAAGAGGGGAAAUAUCAUGACCCAACAUUGCCCCCUAGUUUUUUAUUGAACAGAAUGUUUAAUAGAAAACUAUAAAUUAAUGGUCUAUGAUAUUUUACUAAAGGUCCAUGAUGAAAAGUAAUUGAAAGGUAUCCGGUUAUGGUUCAUGAGAUGAAAUGAGAGGAGACCGGAGGCCCAAAUCAGAAAGGCCUUGUCUGAUAAAUAUCUGGACCCGGAACCGGACGCUUCCCAUUCAAAUUCUAAAUCAUUACUAACAUUUAAUGUGCCGGUCUUGUACACCGUGUAACCGUCAGUAUAAAAGAUAAACUUUACCAAUUUUGACAGUUUUACCUGCCAAUUUGAACUUUGAACCUUUGAGCUUUCUCCUUCUCUCCAGAACUUAUUUCCCUCUCUCUGCGAAAUCUCAAAAAUGGUGGUCCUGAAUACCAACCAGAGUUCUCCUCCUCGAGUGACUCCCAUUAACACCGUUUCCCCCAAUCCAAACCCUGAUCAAGAGGGUUCGAGUUCAAAUCCCCAGUCCACAGCAACCAUGGGGAAGAAUUCGCCCUCGAUACCCUCUCUGCCACCUACUGACUUCUUUAAGGAUGGGGAACAUUUUUCUCAUGCCAAUACCCCCUCUACUGUUACGGAAGCUGAGAUACGUAUCCUCCGGACUCGCUAUCAGAUUCCGGAUAUGUACGCAAUAAGGCUCCUGCUCCCGAAGAACGCAUGUACCAUCGACCGGAUGGUUGGGUCGCCAUGCCAGUUACUUUUCUCGAAAAGGGGAUACGCCUACCCCUCUAUGCCUUCGUCGUUACCCUCUUAGGGUUUAUAGGAGUGGGAUUUGCCCAGUUGGUUCCUAAUUCCUAUAUCCACAUUCUGGCAUUCAUUGCCUUCUGUCACGAACUAGGGAUUCCUCCCUCUGUCAACAUCUUCUUCACCCUCUUCUCAGCCGGUAAAUCCCGAGAAUGAGGUUUCAAAAUGUUGAGCAAACAGUCUCCUCGACCCAACGCCAGAUUUGAGAAGAGACCCUUGAUGGAUACCCCUUUAAGCAACAAGGGUUGGCACGAAAAAUGGUUUUUUGUUCCAGGACUCGAAAUCUCUUCUCUUCCUGAUUGGACUACCUCUGAUCGGAUUUCUGCUGACUUUGGAGAUAUCCCCGAAGAGCGUGUGAAGGAAAUGGCAGAUUUUUUGAAGAAGAUUCCUCCGAAGGAAUGGAGUUUUGCACUUCUGACUUAGCAAGCCUGGUUAUAUGACCAUAAAUGUAAGUUUCGAACAACUUUGUAACACAGUUUUUUGAGAUAUUUAAGUGACAUGGGUUCUGAUACAUGGUUAUUUGCAGUGUCUUUGAUCAAACCAACUUCUUCGGAAGUAAAAGAGUUGGAAGACUUUUUGGCAGGGGAGAUUAUGGAUGCAAGUGAAGAGCCUCCGACUGAAGAAUCUCCCCGAGCUGAUCCCCCCAUCACCGAUCCACCCACUGUUUCUCCUCAGAAUGACGAACCCCAAACUGAUGAACUCAUCGUUCCUAAAGAAUCUCUCAGACCUCGUCGAAGGAAAAGAGGCGCCAAGAAAUCCAAAUCCACCCAGCCGGAAACAAAUCCUGAAAGCGAUCCGGAAACAAUUCCAGAAGCAAUUCCACAAGCAAACCCUUCAUCUAACCCUAGUUCUGUACCUUCUGAAUCGGUUCCGAUUAAGAGAAGCCUGCUUAACAUACCUCUACACGAUUGGGCGAAGGUCCUCCGUGCUAAAAAGCUGAGGACAAAGAUUACUCCAUUGACUGCCGAGGAGCUCCGAGUUCCAUCGUCUUCGACUGACAUUCCCCCAAUAGUCCCAACGGGAAUUCAAGUGCCUGAUGAUGAACUGGUCGAAUCUAUCCCCGUCCUAUCUAGGAAAAGGAAACAACCAUCAGACAGCCAUCCAGGUUCAUCCUCUGCUCCCUCACCAGUCCACAAACCUAAUCCUGUUCGAUCUCCCUCUCCGGAAAAUAUAUAUACGGAUCCGCCCCGAACUCGCGAUCAGCCUGUGCCUUCUCCUCUAAGACAGUCAACCUCUGAAUUUCAGCAUGAUGCUAUGGCCUCUCCAACUAUGUGGCCUCGAUUUAAUGCCAACUUUCCUUUUCAACUGUUUGACGCUUUCGUCCGUGAGACCGAUGACCAUCGAUUUGGGAACAGUUCGAANNNNNNNNNNNNNNNNNNNNNNNNNNNNNNNNNNNNNNNNNNNNNNNNNNNNNNNNNNNNNNNNNNNNNNNNNNNNNNNNNNNNNNNNNNNNNNNNNNNNNNNNNNNNNNNNNNNNNNNNNNNNNNNNNNNNNNNNNNNNNNNNNNNNNNNNNNNNNNNNNNNNNNNNNNNNNNNNNNNNNNNNNNNNNNNNNNNNNNNNNNNNNNNNNNNNNNNNNNNNNNNNNNNNNNNNNNNNNNNNNNNNNNNNNNNNNNNNNNNNNNNNNNNNNNNNNNNNNNNNNNNNNNNNNNNNNNNNNNNNNNNNNNNNNNNNNNNNNNNNNNNNNNNNNNNNNNNNNNNNNNNNNNNNNNNNNNNNNNNNNNNNNNNNNNNNNNNNNNNNNNNNNNNNNNNNNNNNNNNNNNNNNNNNNNNNNNNNNNNNNNNNNNNNNNNNNNNNNNNNNNNNNNNNNNNNNNNNNNNNNNNNNNNNNNNNNNNNNNNNNNNNNNNNNNNNNNNNNNNNNNNNNNNNNNNNNNNNNNNNNNNNNNNNNNNNNNNNNNNNNNNNNNNNNNNNNNNNNNNNNNNNNNNNNNNNNNNNNNNNNNNNNNNNNNNNNNNNNNNNNNNNNNNNNNNNNNNNNNNNNNNNNNNNNNNNNNNNNNNNNNNNNNNNNNNNNNNNNNNNNNNNNNNNNNNNNNNNNNNNNNNNNNNNNNNNNNNNNNNNNNNNNNNNNNNNNNNNNNNNNNNNNNNNNNNNNNNNNNNNNNNNNNNNNNNNNNNNNNNNNNNNNNNNNNNNNNNNNNNNNNNNNNNNNNNNNNNNNNNNNNNNNNNNNNNNNNNNNNNNNNNNNNNNNNNNNNNNNNNNNNNNNNNNNNNNNNNNNNNNNNNNNNNNNNNNNNNNNNNNNNNNNNNNNNNNNNNNNNNNNNNNNNNNNNNNNNNNNNNNNNNNNNNNNNNNNNNNNNNNNNNNNNNNNNNNNNNNNNNNNNNNNNNNNNNNNNNNNNNNNNNNNNNNNNNNNNNNNNNNNNNNNNNNNNNNNNNNNNNNNNNNNNNNNNNNNNNNNNNNNNNNNNNNNNNNNNNNNNNNNNNNNNNNNNNNNNNNNNNNNNNNNNNNNNNNNNNNNNNNNNNNNNNNNNNNNNNNNNNNNNNNNNNNNNNNNNNNNNNNNNNNNNNNNNNNNNNNNNNNNNNNNNNNNNNNNNNNNNNNNNNNNNNNNNNNNNNNNNNNNNNNNNNNNNNNNNNNNNNNNNNNNNNNNNNNNNNNNNNNNNNNNNNNNNNNNNNNNNNNNNNNNNNNNNNNNNNNNNNNNNNNNNNNNNNNNNNNNNNNNNNNNNNNNNNNNNNNNNNNNNNNNNNNNNNNNNNNNNNNNNNNNNNNNNNNNNNNNNNNNNNNNNNNNNNNNNNNNNNNNNNNNNNNNNNNNNNNNNNNNNNNNNNNNNNNNNNNNNNNNNNNNNNNNNNNNNNNNNNNNNNNNNNNNNNNNNNNNNNNNNNNNNNNNNNNNNNNNNNNNNNNNNNNNNNNNNNNNNNNNNNNNNNNNNNNNNNNNNNNNNNNNNNNNNNNNNNNNNNNNNNNNNNNNNNNNNNNNNNNNNNNNNNNNNNNNNNNNNNNNNNNNNNNNNNNNNNNNNNNNNNNNNNNNNAGCCCUUCUUCAUUGUAGAUCUCUUUGAAUUGACUAACUCGAAGACUUGGAGAUCCAAUUUCAAUUGGGACUAAGGCAUCGGUACCAUAGGCCAGUCUGAAAGGUGAAUCCCCCGUUGUAGUCCUCGGAGUAGUUCGAUAAGCCCAUAACACGCUAAGUAGCUCUUCUGGCCAUCUGCCCUUAGCUUCGUCCAAUCUGCGCUUGAUCCCAUUCAGCAGCGUUCUGUUGGUCACUUCAACUUGUCCGUUUGACUGAGGAUGGGCUACUGAAGUCUUUCUGUGCUGGAUCCCCAGUUCUUUCAAAAAUGUUUCAAAUUUCGAUCCCACAAACUGACGUCCAUUGUCCGAUAUUACCACCUUAGGAAUUCCGAAACGAAAUACUACUGAUUCUUUCAAAAAUUUCAAGCAUUCCUGUUCCGUUAUUAACCUAAGUGGCUUUGCUUCUACCCAUUUGGUCAUAUAGUCGAUGGCAACUAUAACAAAACUGACUUGACCUUUUACUUUCGGUAGCGGACCCAGUAUAUCAACCCCCCAGACAGCGAAGGGUAUAGGAGAUAAGAUCGAGUAUAGCUCUUCUGGUGGCUGAUGUGGUAUUGGACUGUUGAGUUGACAUUUAUCGCACUUCUUGACGUAUUCAGUCGCUUCCUUGAAGAUGGUAGGCCAGUAGUAUCCCUGACGAAGUACUUUGUAGGCUAAUGACUUAACAACCAUAUGGUCGCCACAGAUGCCUUCAUGUACCUCUCGGAGAGCAUAUUCAGCUUCAGAUGGAGUCAAACAUUUCAGUAGUGGAGACGAGAAAGCCCUUCGGAACAGAUCUCCAUCAAAUCAGAACAAAAUUAGCACUCUUGUACUUGAUUUUCUUAGCUAGCAUCCUAUCCGAUGGUAAAACGCCAUCUGCCAGAUACUCCAGAUAUGGGGUUAACCAGCAGUUGGUUCGGUCAACACACAUUACCGAUUCAUGAUGAACACUAGGAUGUUGUAAAAUUUCUAAGUAAACCGACCCCUCAAAGACGUUAACAUCCGUAGUGGCUAAUUUGGAGAGUGCAUCAGCAAUGGAAUUGUUAUUACGCUCGACCCCCUGAAACUCGUAGGAUUGGAAAUACUGAAGUCGUUCUUUCAAUUCUGCCAAAUACUUGAUCAUUCUUGGGCCUCGAGCUUCGUACUCCCCAGAGAAUUGCUUAAUAACUAACUGAGAAUCACUGAAGAUGACUAUUCUCUGCACUUCAAGACUCUUCGCUAGUCGUAACCCUGCGAGUACCGCCUCAUACUCAGCUUCGUUAUUCGUCCCUUUGAACUGAAAUCUGAUGGCCUGUUGCACCUUGAAUCCCUCCGGACUCGUCAGAAUAAUCCCUGCUCCACUGACGUCCGUAAUAGAAGACCCAUCUGCAUACAGCGUCCACGAACUCUGCUUCUGUUGAAGAACUGCAACUGCUCUGUCAGAUCCUUCAGCUUCUGCCACAACUUCAUCAGCUUCAGAAAACGAGCAUUCAACUACAAAAUCAGCCAAGGCUUGCCCUUUGAUGGCGGUUCGGGGAUGAUAUUCAAUGAAAAAUUGGGACAACUCCAUCGUCCAUGCAGCUAAUCUCCCCGAUACCUCAGGUUUGCCCAUAAUUUUCUUCAAAGGCUGAUCUGUGUAUAUUAUUACCAAUCUACCCUGGAAGUAUUGCCUAAGCUUUCGACUAGCAGUUAUUAAAGCAAAAGCAAAUUUUUCAAUGUUUGAGUACCUUGUUUCAGCAUCCCGAAGGACAUGGCUUACAUAAUAAAUCGGGUGCUGCUUACCCCCAAUUCACGCACCAAAACUGCUCCUACUGCCAACGAACUAGCUGCUAAGUACAAAUAUAGAGACUCAGCAGGAACGGGCUUCACCAACAAAGGCGCCGAAGAUAAGUAGGACUUGAUGCUCUGAAAGGCGUCCCCACACUCCGAAGUCCAUUGUAACGUCUUUGCAUUCUUCGGCCCUUUCAACGUAUCAAAAAACUGCAAACAUCUUUCUGCCGACUUGGACAUGAACCUCCUUAAAGCUGCAAUCCUUCCAGUCAGACGUUGAACAUCUUUAAAUGACUGAGGAGUCUUCAUGCUCAGGAUCGCUUGAAUCUUCUCUGGAUUGGCUUCAAUUCCUCUUUGACUGACAAGAUAACGCAGAAACUUGCCAGCCCCUAGACCGAAGGUGCACUUAGUGGGAUUUAGUCUCAAGUUGUGAUGGCGAAUUGUCUGAAAGCAUUCUUCUAAAUCAUCCAGAUGUUUACGUACCAGCAUGCUUUUAACAAUCAUGUCAUCCACGUACACCUCCAUAUUCUUACCCAACUGGUAUCUGAAGACGUAGUUCAUCAUCCUCUGGUAUGUGGCCCCGGCAUUGAUGAGGCCAAAGGUCAUUUUCUUGUAGGCAUAUACCGAACGAUGAGUAAUGAACGCCGUCUUCGGUAUAUCCUCUUUACUCAUGGAAAUCUGAUGAUACCCAGAGAAUGCGUCCAUGAAACUUAACAAAGCAUACCCCGAAGUGGCAUCGAUGAGUUGGUCGAUGUGGGGCAACGGGUAUAAAUCCUUUGGACAAGCUUUAUUCAGAUCGGUAUAGUCGAUGCAGACUCGCCAUUUACCGUUCUGUUUCUGGACCAGCACCACAUUUGCCAUCCACUGCGGGUAGUCGAUCUCAAAAAUGAAGUCAGCUGCCAACAGUUUUGCAAUCUCUUCAUCGAUGAUCCGCUGACGUUCAGGUGCAAAGAUCCUCCUUUUCUGUCGAACUGGUUUCUUUGACGGGUCCACUUCCAACCGAUGCUCAGCAAUAUCCCUGCUUACUCCCGGCAUAUCCUGAGGUUCCCAUGCGAAGAUAUCAACAUAGCAUCACAGGAGCUCCAUGAGGUUCAUCCGGAGAGGUUCCGGCAGACCCGAACCUAUUUUCACUGGCUUGUUCACCUUGCCCGGGAUGAACUCUAUCUCCUCUGUUUCUUCAGCUGGCAUGGCCAAUGGUUCGGAACUACUCUCAGUGAAGGGUUCGAUCUUUAUCGUCAUGGUCUGCUUUUGCUUCGAUACCCCCACUCCCGAAGUGAUCACAGCAUUUCUAUAACAUCUUCUGGCCAGAUCCAAAUCUCCUUUCACCUCACCAACCCCAUGAGCCGUAGGAAAUUUGAUUUUGAAAUGAGGGAUUGAGGUCACAGCUUGUAAAGCAAUUAAAGUAGGCCUCCCCAAAAUAGCAUUAUAAGCAGAAUCUACAUGCACGACAUAAAAUUUGCAAAUAAUUUCUACCUGCUGAGGGGCCGUUCCGAAGAUGACCGGUAGUUCAAUGGUUCCAGCCACCUUGACCGGAUCAUUACUAAAACCGUACAAAGGAGCCUCCUGCCCUAUCUCCAUCUUCCGCCCGUCUAGAUGCAUCCUCUGAUAAGCGUGGACAUACAGAAUAUCUACAGAAGACCCAUUAUCUACCAUCAUUCGCUUCAUAUCCACCGAACCCACUUGCGCAGUCAGCACCAAUGAUCCCUCAUGCGGUUCGAUGGUUUCCGAAGGGUAAUCCUCAUCAGUAAAGGAGAUUACCGUAUUCGGAUAAGGUUUAUCAGUCUUCGGGAGGGUACCCGCCACUGACAUGACCGAAUCUAAGUGACUUCGGCGCUUUUUUCCAACAAGUUUGCCAGAAGUACCCCCAGUGAUGACAUCUAUCACAUGCCUUGCAGGCUGUCCCUGAGCUGGCAACGCUUGCUGAACUGGUUGAGCUGCCGGGACAGGUCCUCUAUCCUGCUGUAGAUUCGUUCUGGCAGCCACAUACUGAACUAAAGCCCCACCUUGUACCUUUCUUUCAAUGAAAUCUUUCAAACUAGCACAGUCGUUCGUAUCGUGACCUGAGGCUUGAUGGUAAUCACAAUACUUACGAGGAUUCCCUUUUCCGGGCUUAAUGUUAUCUCGAGGUGGCUCGAAGAUAGGUUGAUCCUUAAUCUGAUCCAAGAUAACAACCCUAUCGGUGUUAAGUGAUGUGUACGUCCUAUUUACUCUCUGGGCUGGAGCGGACGAACGUCCUCCACCCUGUCUCCAAUUGUUGUAUUUCUUCGACCCACCUUCAUAGCGGUCUUUAUUCCCUUCAUUCUUCUUCUGGUCCCCAUCGGUUUUGUUCCGAUCUGUCUCCUUAAGCCGGUCUGAAGAAGGACGUUUGAGGCUGUUCAUGGCUUCCUCCACCACGAUAUAGCCUUCAGCUUUGUCGAAGGCUUCAGCGAGACUCUUCGGGUGGUGAAACAUUAACUUCUUCACCAACUUCUCUGAUUUAACCAAAUCUAACCCAUUCUGAAACAGUCCAACAACUUGUAGAUCGUUCAGGUCUGUCACUUGGCCGACUGCUUCACAGAACCGCUUCACAUAUUGGCCCAAAGACUCAUUCGAAUACUGUCGAACCUGAGCCAACGAACCAGUUGGUUUUCCCCUUCUUUUGUUGCUCCCGAAGCGAGCAUGAAAUUUACUGCACAUGUUUGCCCACGAUGAAAUUGAAUCCGAGGGCAAAGUCCCCAUCCACUGCCGGGCAUCCUUUCUGAGCGUUGUGACAAAAGUAUGACACUUAGCAGCAUCGCUAAAGUCAUAAUAAUCCAUCAGUCAGUCGAAUGCCUGACUGUGGUCGUAGGGAUCCCCCGAUCCAUCAUAACUUUCAAUAUGGGGCAACUUCUUGGUGGGGUCAGCUUUCUCUUUUAGAAUCUCUGCGGAAAAAGGGGAUGCCUUCUUUCCCGAAGUAUCUUUCGUUUUUUGUACCUCGGCAAGCUGCUUUCGAAGUUCCUUUAAUUCUUUAACCAGAUACUCCACACCUUCUGGUUGAGAUGAUGCUUCUUUUUCCGAUGACUCCUUCUUCUUCUGAGCGGACCGGUUUCUUACAACAGAACCUCCAACUUUAGAGGGACUUUUCCGAUGACGAGCGUCCACAGGGUAGUGUACCCUCAGUAGACUCUCGGGAGUAUGACCUCUAGAUAUACUUCGUCUCUGAACUCGGGCGCUACGGUGAGAAUGUGCAACAACAAGUGCCUUCUUUGUAUGCUCAGGGGUCCGAUCUCUGGAUUGACCUCUUCGUUUGCUUCGACCCUGUCCCUUAGAAUCGACAGGGUGAUAUGCCCUCUUCGCUCUUUGAGGAGUAGGGCUUCGGGAUCUUCUUCUUUCUCGGGUUUGGCCCCGAGACUCUCGUCCUGAAUGAGCAAGUUCCUUCCCACUUCGAUGCCCUCGUUCUUCGGACUGAACAUAACUGAACUAUUCGUCCCUCAACUCUGCCAUUCGAGCCAUCUGCUUAGCUAUAUCCUGUCGCUGCUUCAUAAGUACUUCCAUAGCUCUAUCUGCUUCAUCUGCCAUCUUAGCCAAUCGGGAGGCCUUUGCGUCUUGGUCAUCUCGGUAUCGAGUUCUAGGUGAGGUGCCUUCUACUCGUUUCCGACCACGGCCAGACUCCUUCUCUGUCGUGAAAACUAGCUUACGCUUAGCUUUGCCCACCGCCUUCGGCCGAGAAUCUUCAGGUGAACGUUUGGACGCUGUGCUGGCGUGAACACUUAUUGUAGGUCCCAAACGAUCUUUGGCAGACACUCGUGGUGCUGAUUCACUGACAGCCAUCGGCUGCCCUUCGGGUGUAGGUGUUCUACUCUUCACCAUGAAUACUGACGUAGAACAAACACAGUCUGUGAUUGAAAAAUACUAAGGACACUAGAACUCACCCCUCCUUCUAGCGCCAAUGUUAACGCCAAGAUCUUCUUCAACGUCCCAAUCACGUAAGACGCCCUGAUUCUGCACAGUAAACACGAUAAACACCACAAGCUUGACGGCUGGACCGCCGGGGGAUAGCUCAGGCGUGAGAGUUAGUAUACGUGUCACAAGGCUAACAUUGGAGGAUGUAAUGUCUAAUGUAUUGACAGUGAUGAUAAUUCUCAGUUGUGUGUAUGUGAAUAUGAAUGUGUACGUACCUGUUUGUAAAGACUUAGUUGAUAGGUUGUACUCUCUUUGCCCGGUUUACCGUGCCACCCACUACCUCUGACACACCCCCCUGAUAUGAUGGAUUCUGCCGACUGAGUGUUGUAUACCCACUACUUUUGGGUACUGUUUAUGCCGCCGGCCGGCUAUAAUCUCAUCCACAUUAAUGCAUGGCAGGUGUCUUAGUCAACUGUCAUACUUUUUCAUCAUUACAAGUCAAAGUAAUAGAUAUUAAAAGAUCCAAUGGGUUAGUCCAAUGAACCGACCCGAUUUCAUAGGAUUAAAUAGAAGUAAUAUGGUGACUAGGCCCAGUGGCUUUCAAGGUUCAAUAAUGAAGGCCCAAUAGAUUAAUUAAAUAAGUAAACCCAAUUUGCUCGGCCCAAAGAGGGGAAAUAGCAUGACCCAACAGUAUAUAUAUAGUAUAACCAGUGCAUGUUGAGCAAAAAUUGUACACAUCCAUCCAUCCAACCCACUAACAAACAAGCAAAAAUGGUGAAAGUUGAAAUCAUUUCAAAAGAAAGCAUCAAACCAUCUUCCCCAACUCCACAACACUUAAAAAUAUUCAAACUUUCUCUAUUGGAUCAACUCAUUCCUGCCCCUUACGCACCCAUUGUCCUGUUUUAUCCCAAUAUUAAUGGUGUCCAAGAAAAAUUAGUCCUUCUAAAAAAAUCAUUAUCCCAAACAUUAACUCGAUUUUACCCUCUAGCCGGCCUAAUCCAAGAUGAUCUUUCCAUUAAUUGUAAUGACCAAGGGGCUUAUUUCGCGGUGGCAGAGGUUAAUACACAUCUCUCUGACUUUCUAGGCAGUCCUGAUAUCCAGUUGAUACAUAAUAAAUUUCUCCCUUGUGAGCCGCCGAGUUUUAUUAAUGAUGAGUCGUCGAGCAGCAAAAAAAGGCGGGUAACAAAUAUUCAAGUGAAUGUUUUUCAGUGUGGGGGGUUUGCUAUUAGCUUGUGCGUUUCGCAUAAGAUUCUUGAUGGGGCUGCACUAAACACUUUCUUGAAAUCCUGGGCUGCAACUGCAAAUGCAAAUGCUAAUGCUGUUGGUUAUGAUGAUGAGAUUAUUUUUCCUGAUUUUAUGACGUCGUCUUCUUUGUUCCCAACGGAUGAAUUAUGGCUCCGAGAUUCAGCCAUGGUUAUGUGGGGAUCUUUGUUUAAGAAAGGCAAGUGUGUUACUAGGAGACUAGUGUUUGAUGCAUCAGCCAUAGCCACGCUUAAGGCCGAGGCAAAUUCCUCAAAUAUUGUGCACCAGCCUACUCGAGUUGAAGUUGUGUCUGCUUUUAUAUGGAAAUGUGGUAUGGCUUCUGCUGCGGCUGCAUCAGGAAAAAAGAAUAGGCCUUCCAUUCUUACUCACGUUGUGAAUCUUCGAAAAAGGACUGUACCAACGUUGUCCGAUUUUUCUCUUGGGAACAUAAUUUGGAUUGCUAGUGCCAAAUGCAGGGAAAAGUAUGAUCAGCUGGGAUUCGAGGGCUUGGUGGAUAAGGUGAGGAAAGGUAUAUCGAAAAUAAAUGGCGAUUUUGUGAAGAAAAUCCGAGGGGACAAAGGGUCCAAAGUGAUGAGUAGAUGUUUGAAGGAGAUUGGGAAAUUUGGGUGCAGAGAGGGAGUGGAUUGCUAUGGUUUUACUAGCUGGUGUAAAUUUGGUUUUUAUGAGGCUGAUUUUGGGUGGGGGAAGCCUGUUUGGGUGAGUAGUGUUGGUUUAAAUGGUGCACGAGUGUUUAUGAAUCUCAUCAUUUUGAUGGACACAAAAUGUGGUGAAGGAAUAGAAGCAUGGGUGACGCUAGAUGAACAAGAGAUGAAUAUUUUGGAGCAUGAUUUAGACCUCCUUGCAUUGACUUCUUUGGAUCCAAGUCCUAUGCCAAAUUAAUCUUUCGUCUUCUUUUUUUCCUUUUCAUUGCUCCUUACUUAUCUAACGAUUAAGCAUAUCGACCCACACGGAUUAUAAAUCUGUGAUUUUAAUUCCAGUUUUUAAAUACAGAUAAUUAAGUAUAAAUUUAGUCAUGAGCUAAAUGUUUAUCCAAUCCAUUAAUUUGUAAUAUUAAUUAUUAGUAGAGCUGCAAACGAUCCGAUUCGAUUCGAAUCGAAUGAAUUUUGACAAACUCGAACAUGUUCGUAUAACAUGAUCAAACCAACACACACAUGUGCGAAUUCGGAUCGUUAGCUAUUUGCGAACAGUUCACAAACAUAUUCGAGUUUGCAAACAGUUCGCGAACAUACUCGAGUUCGCGAACAUAAUCAAACACCAUCGCAAAUUUCAUGAGCUAAAUGCUUAUCCACAACAUUAAUGGCAAAAGAAAACUUGAGAAUGCAUGCUUUGACUAAAAUUUGAAUAGACAAUCUUUUAGUCACGAACUAAAUGUUUAUCCAAUUCAUUAAUUUGUAAUGUUAAUUAUUACUAGGGCUGCAAACGAUCCGAUUCGAUUCGAAUGAAUUUUGACGAACUCGAACCGAACUCAAACAAAUUCGAACAUGUCCAUAUAACAUGAUCAAAUCAACACACACGUGCGAAUUCAAAUCGUUAACUAUUCGCGAACAAUUCGCAAACAUGCUCGAAUUCACAAACAUAAUCAAACCUCAUCACUUAUCCACAACAUCAUCGUCAUCAUCGCUUAUUAGAGAUUAUUAGUGGUUCAUAAUAAUAAUAAUAAUCUUUAUUUGUUGCAACUCAUCGGAAGAGUCAAGGAGACAAUAAAUGAUAUCAUGACUGGUGACUGGUGACUGGUGAGAAAGAAAUUAAGGCAAGGGGCACUUGUUUUGGGGGAGGACUUUGAAAAUAAUGCACUCGUGUCUAAACUAAAACUACAAGUCAUUGUUUAUGAAGGAAAGAAAUACACGGAUUCAUGAUUAGUCAUGCAUGCAUACUCUUACAUAAAUAACAAGUCAAACUUUUAUAGAUUGAUUUGACUAUAGAAAGAAUGAAUGAAUGAGAAAUAUCACAUUUAUUACAUAAUUAUCAUGAGGUUUGUAAAAAUACAUUGGAUUCUUGUAACUUUUUUUUUUGUUCUCAUCUCCGGUAUUCUGCAACCAUUAGACCUCAACUAAUUUGGAUCGAGCUACGGUUAGACCCACAAGAGUAGGAAUUCUCUCUAACACCGUUUUCUCCAUUCACACGACUUGAACUCGAGACUUUACUUAAGAGACACCAAACUCCCUAACGGAUGUUGGUGUAAGCAUGUUCGAUUGAUUAUAAGCAUCAUCCCAACUUCAUUUUUUCUGAGCUCAUGCUUAGCCGGGAAGAGAGAUCACAGUAGUUUGGGUAAGUCUUUUGUUAAAUGGUCCUUAUCUUGAAUUGAAUCACUUAAGACUUAACUAAGAAUUGACCCAAGUUGAUAGCAUCAAUAAAAGCCCAUGCAUAAAGGACGGUUAGAGAUUCUUCUCAUUGAUUUGCUUGUGGAUAAUACCAAGAACAAACUUCAUUUUUAUUUUAGUUUCAACUACAAUAAUUUAGCAAAUAAUAUUUAUUAGGGAUGUCAAUAUUUCGAUAACGGUUAUCAAAAUUAAGUAAUUUGAAAUAUCCCGCACUAUUGAUUUAUAAAAAUGUUAUACUAAAAUUGUACUGCACUGUACUGAGUUAAAAAAAGAAAAUUAAUAUUUUUAUAAGUAAAUUUAAUAAUUUUUCUUGACAUAAAUUAUAAGUGGGGUUCACCUUAGAUCUUAUAAGAUUAUUAGAUUUAUUUAUGAACGUUUUAGAGAGUUGUGCAUAAAAAUUAAAAAAAUAAUUAUAUAAUAUUAAAUAUAUUAUUAAUUGUUUAUAAUACUAUUUACUAUAUAUUUAUCUCAUAUUCUCAUAAUAUUUUUCACGAGAAAUAAUUUUAAAAAAAUUAUACGUUACAUAAUUUAGAAAAAUAAAAUUAACUGUAUAAUUAAUCAUUGAAAUCAAAAAAGAACCAAACAAAUCCGUGUUACCAAUUCAACAUGAUUCGAAACUUCCCGAACAAACCGUACUCGUACUUUUUACUCCAAUCAAAUAUUGCAUGAAUUUCCAUUUUCCACCGUCACAUAAAUCAUAAAAUAUUCACAAAAACAUAAAAAAGAAAAAGAAAAUGACUACUCCAUUAUUAUAAAUAAAAUAAAAAAAUAAAAUGAAAGAACAUACGCAUGCCGCUGAACUGGAAUCCGAAUGAAGGUAUCAGAACCGUUGAAGGUGGACAAAUUAUAAAACACAGCCUGCCUGACGAAUUCCUUCCCCUCUCCAAUCUCCAUCAUCGAAAACAAGAAGAAAUCGAAAAAAAACCAACAAAAUCUUCAUCUUAUUUUUCUUUUUUAGCUUAAUUUCUCGUUCAGAUUCAGAAGUUAUGAGAAAUCAAAUGAAGAAAUGAAUCCAAAGAAAGACAGAGAAAGCUUUGGAUUCAGAUGGGCCGUCCUCGUCUUCAAUUUUCUCUCUCCUCCUUUCCCUCAUUCUUUUUCAUCCUUCUCUGCUCUGUUUCAUUCAUUUAUGCCGAAUCUAAUCCCACCCCUCCUUCUUUCACCCCUAUCAAUCACGAUCUUUACCAUAAAAGGUACUUUCCGUUUAAUUUUGUUAGUAAAAUUGAAAUUUGUGUACGAUAUGACUGUUGAUUUGAAACGUGUAAUGGGUUUUAAGGAUUUUUGUUAUUGUUGAUUUGGUUGUUCAGAAACGUAAAGAAAGGAAAAGAAAAUUGUAAUUUAAUCGGUUAAGUGCAUUAAAUACGUAUUUAUCUUUCUUCUAAAUUUGACUGACCGAUCAUUUAAGCAUAUAAAGAUUCAAUUUGGCUUUCAUAUGUAAAAAGUAAAUAAAAAUGCCUGUUAAUUGCUUCUGUUUCAUGUUUUGUUCUUUGGCAGUGGCGCAUUAAUGGAACAAAUAGAAUCUUUGGUUAAUCGUCAUCAUGACAAACUCUCUGUAAGUUUUAGGUGUCAUUUUAGUUUUAAUGUAUUAUUGUUAUUAUUAUUUUGACUGAUAUAUAUCAUACAUUGAACAACAGAUGGAGUCAUUUAAAAGUAAAAAUAGGGGCUAUGAAGCUGAACUUAAUGUAGUUACUUAUUGCCGGAAUAGACAGGAGAUUGAUGACAGGUCAAAGUUCCGGAUCCUUAUUGUAAGUUGAUUUCUACCUAUAUUUUUGCCGGAUUGUAAAUAAAGUUAGAUUGAGAUGUAGAGUGGUUAGAUUAUCUCAGAUUGGUAAUGUCUGGUGUUUUUGACAGAUAAUUGCUUGUAUUCCAGAGUUUUGGGCAGCACGGGAGGGAGCUCAUUACAUCUGAGCUUGCAUUGCGGAUCCUCUCAAUAUUAAGUGAGGAACAAUUUCUACCCAAAAUGGAUCCAGUUUCACUAAACAACACCCUUGAGAAGGUUGUUAUCAAGGUAACUUCUCCUCAAGUCGCUGAACUCUUUUGCCACGCAUUUGACAAGUAACGGUGUUGAUUAUUAUAUUUCUUGUGCUCAGUGUAUAAUAUAGACAUUGAUCUGAUCGAACUUGCUUCACUGAUUCAUCUUCUCUGGCGAAUCAAUGUUUUAGAUAUGUUAUCAUAUCGUGCUUCUUUGAGAACGUUUUCUAUACUUCAUGUUUUUUAUAUGACUUUUAAAGUAGAACAUUGCUAUGCAGUAUAUAUAUCGUUGCAUUCUUGUGCAUUAAAUUUAUCUUGUGUGAGUUUUGAUAUUUGAAGACAAUUUCUUGCAAUUCAUAGUUUCAGUUCCACCUUGACAAGCGAAAUGUCUACUACAUCUGUUGAAUAUGCUAUUACCGUUUUAGGUAGAAAAUUUGCUUCCUCCAAGAAAUUAGUAUCAGAUUGCUAAUAUAUAAAAAUUUAUCUUUCAGUUGGUACCAAUGGAAAAUGUGAAUGGCCGCAAACUUGUUGAAGAUGGAGACCUUUGUGAAAGAAGAAAUGGUCUUGCACUUUAUCUUACUGAUUAUACAAUCUGAUAUUACUGUUUUAGAAGAUGUGAGGAUGCUUAGUUUGUGUUUUUAUAAUGCAGGAAGAGGAGUUGAUCUCAAUCGAAAUUGGAGUGUAGAUUGGGGCAAAAAGGAGAAGGUUAUUUCUGUUUGCUGACCGGAGCUUUAAUUUACUAGGAGCUCAUAGUUCUUCUUGCUACAAACCAUUAUUUCUAUUCCAUGAUUUUGCUGCAUCUUUUAGUCUGUUGACAUGUCUGUGAGAAAGAAAUCAACCUUUUAAAUUACAUUGAUGGUUCAUUGUCCCUCGUUGAGUUUUUGUUUCUUUCUAAAUUAUGCUAUUAUAGCCCAAGUUUUCCUUCUAAUAGUGGCUUUUUCGUAUUUUUCCUCCUUUAUUCCAAAAUUCAGGACUAUGAUCCAUAUGAAGAGAAUCCUGGAACUGGUCCUUUUAGUGAGCCUGAGACUCAGUUGAUGCGGAAACUUUCUGUAACAUUUGAACCACACAUGUGGAUCAACGUGCAUUCUGGAAUGGAGGUAUGCCAUACCUCUUUCUAGUUUCAACUCCUUAAUAUCUCUUAAUAUCCCUUGUUGCCAAUGCGUUCUAACUUUUUCCAGUUAGUUAUGAAGCAAUUUCAUGCAUAUUAAAAAGUUUUUCAUAGUAUGUGUAUAUUACCUAUCCGGACGACUUCUCUUUCUCCAAUUUUCUUUUAUUUCUUGAGGACCUGGAGGUUGGGUGUCAAGUUUCCCAUUAUAGUCAGUAAAGUCAAGGGUGGUUUAUGCACUUCCUUUUUCUAUUCAUAUUAUGGUAUCUACUAUGUUCGUUGCUUGAUAAUAACAUUUUCUCCAUUAUAUACUUGUUAUUUAGGCUCUGUUUAUGCCAUACGAUCACAAAAACACGACCCCAGAUGGAUUGUCAUCUCAAAGAAUGAAGUUGAUGCUUAAAAAGUUGAAUUAUUUUCAUUGCCAAAACCGCUGCAUGGUUGGAUCUGGUGGAGGCUCUGUUGGGUUUGUAUACUUAUCUCAAUUUGUUCUAUGUUAUGCUAGCACAAUACUUUAUAAAAAUGGCUAUGUAAGAGCUGUUUCCGAUUAUUUAUGGGGCUUUAGAUUGAAAUUUACUCAAGGCUUGCCAUAUGGCAUUGGUGCCUAGAGAGAGCUGAAUCUUGUUGGUCUCAGAUCUAUCAUUCGGUAUUGCAAAGAUUAACAAUCUUAUCUCAGACAUUUAGGAUAGCUUCCCUUUUAUUUUUUCCCUUUUCUUUACCCUUUAUUUUUAAAUUCUGUUCUCAUGUUCAAAACGCAUAGGUAUCUGGCACAUGGGACAGCUACAGAUUACAUGUUUGACAUUGGAAGGGUUCCCAUGGCCUUUACUUUUGAGGUAGUACUAUUCUUUAUAAUUUAUUGCUUGAUGAAUUUCAUGCAUUGAUAUCCUAACUCCUGACAUGUCAUGUGUGUUGACGGGCAGAUUUAUGGAGAUGGAACAGCCUCCGCAAAAGACUGCUUUAAAAUGUUCAAUCCUGUUGAUCUUGCAACCUUCAACGUAUGUUAUAUUAUACUUGGUAACUUUUAAUCAAAAUAUUCUUCUAAAUACACUUUUUUAUAUUUCUUAAAUUUCACUGAACGACUUCUUUUGAAUGGAGGUGGUUUUACAGUUGAUUGUUGUUACUGUUUCAUUCGACUGAGUUAUGCUCUAAACUCUAUAAUUUUGUUCGUCUUUUGGAUUUCAGAGAGUUAUCAACGAUUGGUCUGCUGCAUUUUUUACACUGUUUAAUAUGGGUUCACGCCAGGUUGAUGAACUUCAACCAGAGAACUCGUCCCAAUUGAACAAGUUGAUAUCGAUAGAUGACUAUCUAAAUGGAUAUCUGAUGGAGAGAAAAAGUAGAUAUGGGAAGAAAAUGGAGGUCCUUGACCUAGGAAUGCAGGAGAUUAGAACUUAUUUCAGGCUCUUCUUGUUAUCCUCAGUAUUGCUGAUGUUCAUGUUUUGUUCUAGAAUCUCAAAGAGUAGUAGGCCAAUUGUUUCUGCAAUGUCUCUCUGAUAAUUCUCCUAGUUUAGUUUUUUUUUGAGAGUAUUAUUUUUUUUUUAAUUAAAAUUAUCAGUCGGUCAUGCAAAAUUAUUUCUCAGUAGUUUAAAUACAUCUACCUUUUCAGGUUGGGAGAAGAAAAUUAUUUUUGUGAAAGAACAGAACUGUGUUGAUGUACUGGUAACUGUUUAAAAUUUAUUGUGCAUUAAUAGAAAAAGAAAUUUGUAUUCAUCUCUAUUCUUGUCACCUUGCACGGUCUUCUGUUUGGCAUAGUGUUAAUUAUGUAUUUGUGCAGGCAGGCGUGUUCAAUGGUAGCGCUUAAUUUCAAUUUAAUCAUUUGUUCUGAUGCUUUGCUGCUAUGAUUAUGUAUACCUAAUAAUAUCUCCAAAACCAGAUUUGUUGCUUGACUAGUUAUAUGGAUGUGACCAUGAUACAAUGGCAGCCAUUUGUUUUGCCAUGGUUUCAUAUACUAGUUCUUCACCAAUAAUCUUGUACGCUGCUAGAGCUGCAAACAAUCCGAACUCGAGCACUUCUAUCGAAUCAGAAGUUAUGUACAAGUUCGGUUCGAUUGGUGUUUGCGAACAUGAAAUCAAGUUCACGAAUAUUUACUAAUGCACAAAAUUGAGAAAACUGAGAACUCAGAAGCAAAUUAAAAACAAUUAAAUAAAUACCAAAAAAUAUAUUCUCUAAAUAAUUCAAUCAAAAAUUAGACCAAAUAUUAUAAUCAUCAUUUAUCUCAAAAAUGAUUACUGAAAAGUUAAAAGUUAACAACUAAUAUUAGUUUUGUUAUUUGUAUUAGUUUUGUUAUUUUAAAUUAUUUAGGAAUAGGAUAUAAAUAUAUAAUAUAUAUCAUAUUAUCAUAUAUAUAUAUAUAUAUAUAUUUAUAUAUAAUAUUAAAUUAGUAGUAGUGAACUAUUGGUCAAAAUUAUAAUUUAUUACAUAAUUAGUCUAGAAUAAAUGAAUAAUAUUUUAUCUAUUUCAAAGAGUCUUAUUUAAGAUUUUUUAUAAUAAAAUUGUAAAAUUCUAAGAUUUAAAAUAAUGUGAAUUUAGUUGAUUUAAAUUAAUUUAAUAUCUAAUAGACUUAUAAACUAAUAUUGUUAACCUUUAAAUGUAUUAGUACCAAAUAUUUCAUCCAUUCUGAAAUAUAAGUAAUAAGAUCAAUUGAUCAAGUCAAGUAUGAAUUUUUAAAGUCGAUAGGAAUUUUUUUUAAUUCAAAAGGGAUGUGAUAAUUAAUUUUUAAAUACAAUAAAUCUUUGAUAAUUACUUUAUAAUUUUCAUAAUUAUAUUGUUUAAAACUAAAUAAAUUAACUACGAUUCUAAGAUAAAAGGGUCAAAGCUAUUUAAAGACUUUGUUUCAUUUUUUUAUUUAAAAAAAUUGCUUAUUCUAAUUUAAAUUAAUAACUCAUUUUAAUUUCAUGCAAACAGUACUGUGAGUAUGUGACAUAUUGUUUAAUUAGACUUUUUUUCAACAACUUUUUAGUUUUUACACUAAAUAUAAUUACUUAAUUGCGUAAAUGAUAAGUCAAAGUUAGUCAAUCACUCUCUCUCUCUCUCUCAAGUAUGUAAGAUUGUAACACUAAAAAAACAAAAAUUGGUAAAGUUAAGUUUAUACUUUUUAUUAUAUAAUUAAUAGUUGAUGUUAAUAUACAAUAGUAAUUGACUAAUUGUACAAUGACUAUUUUUCUAUUGGUGAAAUUUCAAUACUUUGAUGACUUGAUUUCUUUAUUAUCUAUCUCGAUUUGACAAUUUUAAUAACUCGUGUAAAUAUAAACAACUGUAUUGUAUUACUUUUUUAAUUAAUGUUAAAUUGUCAUUGUAUGAUCAUUAGUAACUUUAUUUAUGUGAUUUAUGACAUCGGUUAUAACUUAUAAUCUAUUAAAUUAUUAGGGAUGUAAAUUGUAAUAAUACAACAAUCAUUGUUAAAAUUCUUAUGAAAAUAUUAAAUUUAUUUUCAUUAAAAUUUAUAGGUGAAUAAGUACACAUUAUUAUUUAUUAAUUAUUUAAUAAAAAUAUUUACUUAUAAUCAACUAUUAAAAACAAAAAAGAUGUUUUAAGUAAUAAAAAAAAUUACUACAAAUUUAACCAUUAAGACAAACAUUAGAAUUUAAUAUGAAAUAACCAAAAUCAACUAUUUAUAUGUAAAAUUUUAAAAACAAUUUAAAGUGAACAUAUAUACUACCUCCGUCCCAUAAUAAGUGCUUUUUUAGCUAAAAUCACACAUACCAAUACACAAGCUAAAAUGACAAAAAUACCCUUAAUAUAUUUUUUUUGAAGUUGAAGAGUUAAUGAGUGUCAUUUAAUUGUAGUGAUGGUAAGAUGCAAUAAAUACCAUUGAAUGCAUAAGGGCAUAUAUGAGAAAAUAUUGCAAAAAUUGUAUUGGAGUUCUAACACAUCACUUAUUUUGAGAAAAACUAUUAAGCCUAAAAAAGCACUUAUUGUGGGACGGAGGUAGUAUAAGAAAUCGAACGCCUCGAACCUAUAUCGAACUCGAACAAUCGAACCGAACUCGAACAAUCGAAACGAACCCGAACUCGAACUUAUCAAGUUGAACCGAACUUACCGAGUCGAACCGGUUCACAAACAUAUUCGAUCGAGCAAACGAACGGAACACCUUAAACCGAACCAGUUCGUUUAGUUUGCAGCUCUAUACACUGCUCUUUAAGAAAAAUUUAAGAAAUAGAAGGCUUCUGUUAAAGGUGCCAAAUUUUUAUUCAUAACCUUUCAGUUAAUUACAAGAAAAAGAAAAUAAUAAAUACAACAUCAACUAUAUUAGAGUUCAUUGUUCAGUUCGUUUGCAUGAUUACAGGAAAAGUUGUCAUAUGUGCAAGUAUAUAACAAACAAAGGCGUGUCCACUGGUGCAUGUGAAAAAAUAAAGUGUUGUAAUCUUUUGCCUAUGAUCGGUCUUCAUUCUUUAAGUCUUCAUCAUUGUUCUUCGGCUGCAUCUAUAUGUAAUUACAAGAUAUUGCCUAGCACAAAUAACCAAAUUUCAGCUUACGAAAUAAAAUGUUUAAUUUGAGAGUAGAAAACCAAUUGGUGUAGGAAAUGGUGGUGAUGGAUUACUAAGAUGCCGUUCAUGUGUUUAUAAUGAAAGUUAAAAGUAAAGCACAACCAAAUUCAGGUUCGAAAUAUUUGAGAAAUGAACCUGCGAAUGCAGAGAUUAUGUCGGGGCAAGUCUCAAAUUCUAAUUGGCAAGGCGUUAGGACUAACCCACCUCAAAUCAAUCAUCUCAUGGUAGUUCACAGUAAUUAAGCCUGCAGUCUCUGGCUAGGCCUACAACUUGUGACAAUCUGAUUCUGCCAACAACUUAUGUGCUGUCAACUACGAGAUCUUAGUGUCUGUUUCAUGUAUCUGAGUGCAGACCGUAACAUUGCUCUAGCUUUUCUGUCUGGGCUGCACCCAGACAAAAUCAUUUCUUCAUAUACAGCUGGUACCUGAAAUUAAAAUUAUUUAGCAUGCCUUUAUUAAGUAAUAUUUAAUACCCUCAGUCUGGACAAAUAUUCCAAUUUAAAAGUCAAACACUUAAAGGAACACCAUAUGCAUGUCACAAACGAAUGUCAUUUAGACUGAAAAUUGAAACAUAAUACAAAUUGGAAAGUUAAUUGCUCAAAUUCUCAAAAGGGAUUCUUACUUUGGGACGCAGGACUAACUCAAGAAAACUAUAUGUACAGAAAUCAUAACAAGAAACACUUAAGGAAUAGGAUCAAAAGGCUAGAAAUUUAGUGCAUAGAGGAACAUUCAAGGUGAACAACUCUUUCUAAAGUACUAUAAACCCUGUUGUAUUUCAGACUUGCCAAAGUAAAUAAGUUUUGAUCAACUUGGUCAAGAAGGUUAUAGGGCUGAAGUUUUGUAAUGUUCAGGUCCCAAACGGAUAUGCUGUUCUAAGGCAGGAAUCAGAUUUUUCAUUCUUUGAUGCUGCUGGUACUUCCAGUGAAAAUAGGGUGACCAAAUAUAAGACAAAAGUAUCUAAGUAGCCGAGAGUCCUCAAUACUGGUAACCACAAAAAAUAAAAUAGUUAUGCUUAUACCUCAUCAAAUUUCUCCACACGAAUUAGAGCUUUCAUAAGUGUAGUGUAUGUAACUACAUCCGGCUUCAGGUCCUGUAGUAAAGAACGUCAUAUUGACAUGAUGUAUGAAGGUAAAAGUAGACGAGAGAGAGAGGGAAAGGGAGGGAAGAGUAUAAAAAUAGUAGAGAGCAACUUGCAUUUUCCUUCAUAUAUUGCAAGACAGCAAAUGCUUCAGCAUCUCUCCUAUCCUCGCCAAAUGCAUUGAUCAAUGAAUUGAGAGCCAAAUUACUGGGCUUUAGACCAUCCCCUCUCAUGACCCUAAAUGCAUUUACUGCUUGCUCAGAGAGACCCUGUAAGAAAAUUGAAGGAAACACAAAAAGGUUAUUGGUGCAUGCCCGACUAUAAUGUUUAGUUAUAAGAAGACAAGUCGUAACUUUAAUUGAGAUUUUAAUAAGCAAGUUAAGGCCAAUAAUUUAAGGCUCAAAAUUAAGAUGCAAAGAUGUGUGUGUCUGUUGUUUUUAAGAUAGUUCCCUAUAAGAAUUAAGGUUAUUUGGUGCAUUCCCAGUGAUAACAUUUAAUUACAAGCAAAAAUGUAACUUUACUUGGAAUUAUAAUAGGAAAGUUAAAGCUAAUAGUUUUAGGUUCAAAGUAAGAUGCAAAAUCUAAUGUCUCUUGGUGAGAAAAUCUUAUUAUUAGUGAUCUAAACAGGUAAUGUGAAUUCAGCUUGGGUCAAAAAUAUUCAAAUAAAGAAAGAGCCCCUACCAAUUUUUUGACAAUUCACAGCAUAUUGAGCAAAUGCUUGAAUGUCAGGGUAUUAUUUCCAGGAUGUGAGAGAGGAAGCCUGACAAGAAUAAGAAUGUAAAUUGAAAGGAUAUGCAGGUUUCCCUUAUGAGACUGACUUGAUCUCCAUGAUACUCUAAUCUUAAGAUGCCCCACUAAAGGGUCUGCUGACAGUCUCCAAUGAUUCAUGACAGUAUUAAUGUCCAAUGACGGGUACAGAUAACUUAAUACUAUAUUAUACAAGGCAAAAAGCACGCAGUAAAGCCUUGGCAGAACAUGUAUAAGGGAAUCAAAAAAAUAAAAUAAAAAAUAAGAUAAAAAGACUAAGAGAUGUCUUUGCUCUAAGGUAUACAUACAUAAGUGCAGGUAUCAUUGUCAUUUUUCUUCUUUAACAGUUACAACCUUGAUGUCAGAUAUGAGGGAUAUUAGAAGACUGACGACUCAAGUAAGAGCAAUUAGAAUGUACUUCAAUCUAUAAACUGUUCCCAAAACUUAGUAUAAAAUGUCUCACUACUCUAGAAAGUUGUGUUGUAAAUCAUUCUUGGUAGCAUUCAUGUGAAAAAACGGUAAGUAUGCUAAGACUGAAAUUAAGAAGUACUCAUAUUUUCAAGGUGAAUAUGAUAAGAGUAUAAGACCGAAAUUAAAAAGUAAUAAGUCAUCGUUGAUAACCCAACAAGAAUCUUAGGAAGCUAGUACUCAAAAGUUAAUAAUUGAUCAUGUGUAGUAAAUAAGUUUCGUGGUAGCAACAUACCCUUUGUGCAUAGGCAUUUAUCAAUGCAUUAUACAUGGUCGUGGAUGGUUUCAAACCUGCAGACUUCAUGACCUCCAAGCACUCAAUUGCAUCAUUAAAUCUCCCAGAUUUCCCAUAUAUAUCAAUCAGUGUCGUGUAUGUAAUAACAUUAGGCAGUAGUCCCUGACUUUGCAUCUUCCCCAACAAAUUCUUCACACAUUCCCAUCUCUCCUGCUCCCCAAACGAAUUAAUCAUUAUAUUAUAUGUUGUGGUACAAGGCAAGCACCCACUUUCGUGCAACGCCUCAAAUAGCUCUUCUGCUUUGUUGUGAUGCCCUGACUUACAGUGGCAAUCUAUAAGCGUAUUCCAUGUAACAGUAUCAGGCUCAAUCCCUUCAUUCCUCAUUCGUUCCAUCGUGGCCAUUGCAUGAUCAAGACAAUUAUACUUCCCAAAAGUAUCAAUCAUCACAUUGUAAAAUUGCCUAUCUGGCUGCACCCCACAACUCUUCAUUUCCUUUACAACUUGAAAUGAUUUUUGCCAUUCCCCUCUAUCGCGAUAAUUAGCUAAUAUCCUACUAAAUACAAAUGAAUUAGGCUGCACAUUGUUAGCUUCCAUUUCCUUCAAAACAAUUCUCGCGCUCUCCCACCUACCUGCAUUCCCAUACGCAUCAAUAAGCAAACUAUAAGUAUGCUCAUCCGGCAACACCCCACUACUCUCCAUCUCUGAAACAAUCCACUCAGCAUCUUUCAAUGAUCCCCUCUUCACAUACCCUUUCAAAAGUGCAUUAUAAGCCCGCGUCCUAGGUUUCAACCCACCUUCUUUCAACUCCUCGAAAACGGCCUCCGCCUCCUCAGUCCUCCCUGAAUUCCCCAACUCCGAAAUCACACCAACAAGAGUAGUUGUUUUCGGACUCAACCCAUUCCCCUGAAUCAGCCCCAAGAAAAACAUAGCCCUGUUCACAUCACCAGAUUUUGCAAACCCAAUAGUAAUAUCAUUUAACAACUGCCCAUCAAGCUCAAUCUUAUCCGCCUCAAUUUCUUCAUACAGUUUCAACAACAUGGCCGAAUCAAUUUUGUUACUACGAGUAAGUGACUGAAUAACUAAGCUGUAAUUCACGAAAUCAGAUUGGUAACCAUCCCGUCGCAUCCUAGCCAUCAAAUUUAGGGCUUUUUCAAGAUCGUCAUUUCUAGCACAAGCCCCAAUUAGGGCAUUAUAGGUUAAGGGUGUCAAGGUCUGACGCUGGGAGAGCAAAAAAGCUUCGUAAAGCUUCUCGGAGCGUCCGAGCGCGUGGAUUAAAAUCGAGUACAGCAAUUCAUACGAGAAGCAGAGAUUGUGCUUCUGAAGCCACGUCACGAGCGAAUAAGCGGUGGAAAUUGAUGAAGAUUCGGAGGAGAGGGAUUUUAGGAGAGUGUGCCAGAGUGGAGCUGGGACGGCUCGGUAAAACCCAACGAGUUUGAGCUCAGUGGGGUUAAGGGAGGUGGGGGAAGAAGAAGGUGAGUCGAACUCGGUGGGUUCGUAGGUGGACAGGAAUUGGAGGAGGGGGCUGAAGUCGUAACGGGGUUUUUGGAUGGAAACGACGUCGUCAUGUUGGUCGAGGUGGUGGUAGGAUAAGGAUGAGGAGGUGGCGGUUGCGGCGGCGAGGAGCGGAGGUUGGAAAAAGUGGUGGCGGCGGAUGAAGAGGGAGGUGGUUAAAUGGAAGCGAGGAGCUGGUAGUGGUUGAGGGAGAAGAAGCAUGUUCAUCUUCUUCUACUACCACAGUCUCUGCGUGCCAAGGAAAGGAGUUUCGGUUGGAUGGAAGAUAGAUAUAGUUUUAUCCGUUACAUUUUAUUUUUUUAAAUGACAAUUUUGCAUUCCUCUCUGUGCUUUAAAAAUUUAUUACUAUUUUUCAGUUAAUCUUCUUUUAUUUUAAGUAUUAUUAAAGUUUAUAUGAUUAUAUCCUAUAAUAUUUUAAUAUUUAUAAACUUAUUCACAAUUAUAUGUUUUUAUUACUAAGCUAUUAUUAAUACGGUUUUUUUAUGAGUUAUUUUUAAAGUAAAAAUAAAAUAAAUGAAAAUGACCAAAAAAUGUGUCGCUAAUUGAAUAAAUAAUCGCACAACAAUUAAAUACAUAAAAUAUAGAUGUAUGACAUAAAUGAUUUUUUAUAGGUACCAAAAAAAUUCUUUUAUUUAAAUCUUUUAUGAACAUUUAAUUACACAAAAAAAAUAUAAUAUUUGAGUGGUAAAAUUUAAUAAAUAAAUUUUACAUAUUUUUAUAAAUUUGUUUACAUUCAUUUGAGUUUUGACUACAAAAAUUAUGUUAGUUAAUAUCACUAUAAGUGAUAGGGUAUUUCAUUUUUCACAUAUAUUUUAUACUCCUAAUAUUUAUUUAUAAAUAAAAUAAAAUUUAAUUGAAAAAAAAUGAUAAUUUAAAUUUAAUAAAUUUAUUUUUUCUUUUAUUAACUCACAACAACUUGCAAAAGAUUGUAAUUUUAUUUUCCUUAGGUUUUUAUUUUUUAUUUUUACCAUUCAAAACUAGUUUACCACAAAACAAAACAAAAUAAAUAAAUUAGAUUAAGCGAAGACAAAUUAAAAAAAAAUAAAACCCCACAAGGCCGCUCCCUCCUCUUCAUAAGUUAGGGUUUAUCUCCCGCGGGCGCAUUGGCUUCAGUUGCAGUUAGCCAUGGCAGGUUCUCGUCCCCAAGUGAACAAGCCCCAUAAAACUCGUUUUGCUUCCAAAGCGACUCGCAAUGUUCACAAAACUUCUCUUAAAGGUUUCAAAUUUAUUCUUCCAACUUUAAUUUCACUAUUUAAUCUUCAUUUUAUGCCUUAAAUCCUUGCCUAAUUUUUAUUUGUGGUUCCGAUAGAUAAGAAGAUCGCAAAAUCCGAGCGCAAUGUAGCCAAGGGAGCUCGGGCUGCUCGACUUCAACGUAACAAGAUGGUAAUUCUCAGAUUAUUUCUCUUCUGCGUGACUAUUUUGUGUAAUAUUCAUAAAGAUCCUUGUAAAGUUUUUUUUUUGUGGAAUUUUUGUAGAUGAGGGAGCAGAAACGGGCAGCCCAUUUGAAAGAAAAAAGGGCCUUCAGCGGAUCAACAAGCCCUCCCCGUGUUAUUGUGAGGAUCGUUUUCCUUAUUUAGUAACUCUUGCAAUAUCUAUUGUAUUUUAGUUAUGGUUUGUAAUAGCGAAACUCUUGUUUCAAACUUACUGGAGCUAAAUUCAGUAAAUAUUGGUAUACUAUAUUGUUGGUGUUUAGGAUGAAUGGGAUUGAUUGAUUUUUAAAAUUUUAUUUUUGGUUUUUUGAUUACUCUUUGGAAUUGAAUUUAAGAGGUUAAUUGUUAGUUGAAAUUCCAACCUCUCUAUAUUUCCCAUCAGUUCUAGGGUGUCUAAUCUAUAUAAUUUAAACCACUUAGUUCAGUUGACGCAUGCACUUAUCACUACUAAUUGUCAACUUUAAUCCAUUGACUUUGGUACGGGAAAUGUUUAUGGAUUUCAAUUUUAUUUUCACCCAAAGGUUUUUUCUUUAAUAAAAUUUAUACUUAAGCCUCUCUUUAUCACAGGUUCUCUUUGGACUUUCUGCUUCUGUGAAUCUUAGCUCACUUGCAGAAGAUUUUUCGGCCUUAUUGUCUACUGGGAAAACUGGAACUGUGUUUCCAGCAGUUGCUUCUUCCGAGUACAAGUUGAGAACAACGGUAGGCUCCUCUACUGUAUACUUUUAUCAUGGUCAUAAUACUUUUCCUCUGAAAUCUUUGUGUGAAAAAGGAUGCACUCUUUUGUGUUAAAGGUACAUAUAUUAGGCUCAUCAGCUGAAGUACCUUCUACUCUCCUGGAAAGGGGUUGGGGAACUGGUGAUCACUAACAUUUAGUUGA
rnacentral:lncRNA from 1 species